UACAGAGGGUGCAAGCGUUGUUCGGAAUUACUGGGCGUAAAGCGCGUGUAGGCGGCUUAUUAAGUCGGACGUGAAAUCCCUUGGCUCAACCAAGGAACUGCGUCCGAUACUGUUAGGCUUGAGUGUCGGAGGGGGUGGCGGAAUUCCUGGUGUAGAGGUGAAAUUCGUAGAUAUCAGGAGGAACACCUGUGGCGAAGGCGGCCACCUGGAAGACAACUGACGCUGAGACGCGAAAGCGUGGGGAGCAAACAGG
rnacentral:rRNA from 2 species